rnacentral:rRNA from 1 species
UACGUAGGGGGCGAGCGUUGUCCGGAAUUACUGGGCGUAAAGGGCGCGCAGGCGGCCGAUCAAGUUAGAUGUGAAAUACCCGGGCUUAACCUGGGAACUGCAUUUAAGACUGGUUGGCUAGGAGUGCAGGAGAGGGAAGCGGAAUUCCUAGUGUAGCGGUGAAAUGCGUAGAUAUUAGGAGGAACACCAGUGGCGAAGGCGGCUUUCUGGACUGUAACUGACGCUGAGGCGCGAAAGCGUGGGGA